UGAUGUAUUUCAUUUGAAAUGUGGGAAUCUAUUUCACAUGAUUUUCAAACCUGUGAGGAAAUUCACCUAAAAUGUGUGUGCAAUACACGGAUGCUUAAUGAUGUAUGUGUCAAUCACUUGAGUCCACAGGUACUCAACACCUCGGAGAUCAGCUGAGAAGAAACAGACAUAUGAACGACAGCUUACAUGUGUUAGUGUUGAUGGAUAGUCUGGUGGACCUAGUGACCAGCAGACCGACCAAGCCUAUAUGGCCAAAGGACAACUUGCCUUUUAUUACCUGUCAGGGUCAGUGUGACAACCCUACUGACUGAUUCGUCUAGCGGAAACACUAAUAUUUUUUCACAGCACAAGCUAUGCUAAUUCUGUGGUGGACAUAACCUUGACUAUAUAAUACGGGGAGUACGAGAUCCAAUAUCCGUGCAAAGAGUUCAGUGGAGUUCUGUGAUGCCCAGCAGACAGAUUCCACAAGGAAUACAAGAGUCUGGCCGUAGUAGUAGAAGAGUUAUCAAGUUGAUUAUCUAAGUACCCACCUGGUGUUGGAGCAUCAUUGACUGAUGCUGCAUGAUCUGCUGUAGUUGCUGAGGAGAUAGACCCUGGUUCUGUUG
rnacentral:lncRNA from 1 species